rnacentral:lncRNA from 1 species
UGACUAUGCUUCAUUCACCAUCUGGACUAACACUCAUGGAUAAAGAAAGAUUUGGCUUUUCAUCCCAAACUCAAUGGAGUUGUAAAACCCACAGAGAAACGGCAGCCUGUUAUGAUAUUUACGUCAUCCAGUUAUGAGUCCAGAGUGAAGAAUUUAUUUCCAGGGGCUUGAAACUUCAACAGUGACCACUUCUGAGUAAUAGAGGAUAAGAAUAAAUAAAUACAGAAG